rnacentral:tRNA from 1 species
GCCCGUGGUGUAGUGGUCCGCACGUUCGCUUCAUAAGCGGAUGGUCAUGGGUUCGAACCCAGCCCCGGCA